GACACGAUGGCCGAGUGGUUAAGGCGAUUGACUAGAAUUCACGUGAUUUAGCGUGUACCCGAAAUCAAUUGGGAUUUUCCCGCGCAGGUUCAAAUCCUGCUCGUGUCG